AUGCAUGAAGAGAUCUCAACGCUUGCAGUGUCCCUGUCAACAAACGCACUCAAGUUCUAUGCUCCAGCAACUGGACAGUAUUUGGGGGAAUGCACAGGCCAUACAGGGAGUAUCCAUGAGAUUGCCUUUUCAGCUCCGUCUUCGCUGCAAGUGAUAUGCUCUUGCUCUGGUGAUGGAACUAUCAGAGCCUGGGACACAAGGAGCUUCAACGAUCAGGCCGUUCAGCUCUGCCACCGCAAGGCGUUCACCUCUGCCACAGGAGGUCGUUCGACGAUGCAGCGCUCAUCAUGUUGUGUUUUUAAAGUACAUGUUUUGUGUGCUUUCUAG
rnacentral:rRNA from 1 species